rnacentral:rRNA from 1 species
UGGGCAACCUGCCCCUAGCUCUGGGAUAACUCCGGGGAAACCGGGGCUAAUACCGGAUACGACCUCCUGCGGCAUCUCGGGAGGUGGAAAGAAUUUCGGCUAGGGAUGGGCCCGCGGCCUAUCAGCUUGUUAGUGAGGUAAUGGCUCACCAAGGCGACGACGGGUAGCCGGCCUGAGAGGGAGACCGGCCACACUGGGACUGAGACACGGCCCAGACUCCGUACGGGAGGCA